AGCAGCCGCGGUAAUUCCAGCUCCAAUAGCGUAUAUUAAAGUUGUUGCAGUUAAAAAGCUCGUAGUUGGAUUUCGGGGUUAGUAGGUUGGUCAUGCCUCUGGUAUGUACUGGUCUCACUGAUUCCUCCUUCCUGAUGAGCCGUAAUGCCAUUAAUUUGGUGUUGCGGGGAAUUUGGACUGUUACUUUGAAAAAAUUUAGAGUGUUUAAAGCAAGCUAACGCUUGAAUACAUUAGCAUGGAAUAAUGAAAUAGGACGUUCGAUCCUAUUUUGUUGGUUUCUAGGAUUGACGUAAUGAUUAAUAGGGAUAGUUGGGGGCAUUAGUAUUCAAUUGUCAGAGGUGAAAUUCUUGGAUUUAUUGAAGACUAACUACUGCGAAAGCAUUUGCCAAGGAUGUUUUCAUUAAUCAAGAACGAAAGUUAGGGGAUCGAAGACGAUCAGAUACCGUCGUAGUCUUAACCAUAAACUAUGCCGACUAGGGAUCGGAUGAUGUUAAUUUUUUAAUGACUCAUUCGGCGCCUU
rnacentral:misc_RNA from 1 species